rnacentral:rRNA from 1 species
CAUACACAAGUUCCUAGCCCGACAGGGUGUGGCAAUCUCGAAUAUGCAUCGUGAUGGGGAUAGAUCUUUGCAAUUAUAGAUCUUGAACGAGGAAUUCCUAGUAAAUGUAAGUCAUCAUCUUACAUUGAUUAUGU